AGAACGAACGCUGGCGGCAUGCCUAAUACAUGCAAGUCGAACGAAGGCUUCGGCCUUAGUGGCGCACGGGUGCGUAACGCGUGGGAAUCUGCCCCUUGGUUCGGAAUAACAGUUGGAAACGACUGCUAAUACCGGAUGAUGACGAAAGUCCAAAGAUUUAUCGCCAAGGGAUGAGCCCGCGUAGGAUUAGCUAGUUGGUGAGGUGAAGGCUCACCAAGGCGACGAUCCUUAGCUGGUCUGAGAGGAUGAUCAGCCACACUGGGACUGAGACGACGGCCCAGACUCCGUACGGGAGGCAGCGAGUAGGGAAUAUUGGACAAGUGGGACGAAAGCCUAGACUACCAGCAGUCGGCCGCGUGAGUGGAUGAAGGUCCGUUAGGUUAGAAGUCUUC
rnacentral:rRNA from 1 species